UACGUAGGGGCCUAGCGUUGUCCGGAUUUAUUGGGCGUAAAGAGCUCGUAGGCGGUUCGGUAAGUCAGGUGUGAAAUCUCCACGCUCAACGUGGAGGCGCCACCUGAAACUGCCGUGACUCGAGUCCGGUAGGGGAGUGUGGAAUUCCUGGUGUAGCGGUGAAAUGCGCAGAUAUCAGGAGGAACACCAGUGGCGAAGGCGACUUUCUGGUCUGUAACUGACACUGAGGCGCGAAAGCGUGGGGGGCGAACAGG
rnacentral:rRNA from 1 species